CAAGGUCAGUGGCGGACGGGUGCGUAACACGUAGGUGACCUGCCCUGGAGUGGGGAAUAAUUCCGCGAAAGCGGGACUAAUACCGCAUGUGCUCGUUGAUUCGGUUGAACGAGCAAAGCAGCGAUGUGCUCUGGGAUGGGCCUGCGGCGGAUUAGCUAGUUGGUGGGGUAAAGGCCUACCAAGGCGAUGAUCCGUAGGGGGCGUGAGAGCGUGACCCCCCACAUUGGCACUGAGACACGGGCCAAACUCCUACGGGAGGCAGCAGUGAGGAAUAUUGCGCAAUGGGCGAAAGCCUGACGCAGCAACGCCGCGUGAGGGAUGAAGGCCUUCGGGUCGUAAACCUCUUUUCUGGGGGACGAGACAAGGACGGUACCUCAGGAAUAAGUCUCGGCUAACUACGUGCCAGCAGCCGCGGUAAAACGUAGGAGGCGAGCGUUAUCCGGAUUUACUGGGCGUAAAGCGCACGCAGGCGGGUCAGUAAGUUGGAUGUGAAAGCUCCCGGCUUAACUGGGAGAGGCCAUUCAAGACUGCUGGGCUUGAGGUUGGGAGAGGGGUGUGGAAUUCCCGGUGUAGUGGUGGAAUGCGUAGAUAUCGGGAGGA
rnacentral:rRNA from 1 species